UACGAAGGGGGCUAGCGUUGUUCGGAGUCACUGGGCGUAAAGCGCACGCAGGCGGAUUGAUAAGUCAGGGGUGAAAUCCCGGGGCUCAACCUCGGAAUUGCCUUUGAUACUGUCUGUCUUGAGUUCGGGAGAGGUUGGCGGAAUUCCUAGUGUAGAGGUGAAAUUCGUAGAUAUUAGGAAGAACACCAGUGGCGAAGGCGGCUAACUGGCCCGAUACUGACGCUCAGGUGCGGAAAGCGUGGGGAGCAAACAGGG
rnacentral:rRNA from 1 species